rnacentral:rRNA from 1 species
AUGGACGUCCUCACGGCGAUUUUCAGGAAGGCGGAGGAGGCAGGCCUCUUCGCCUCGCUUCACGAUCGCGGCAUACACCACCGGCUCUCAUUGUAUGCAAACGAUGCCAUCUUGCUCCUUAGGCCGUCGAUGGCUGAGAUGGACGCGGCAAAGCAACUCCUGGAGUGCUUUGGGGAGGCCACGGGGCUGCGGUGCAAUUUCUUGAAGAGCUCCAUCUCCACGAUCCGUUGUCAGGAGGAAGACAUUCAGCAGCUCCUCGCUCUGGCCGGCUGCAAAUUCCAGGCGCUACCUAUCACAUACCUUGGCCUCCCUCUUUCGCUUCGGGCCCUGACCCGUUCGGAGCUUCAACCCCUCAUCGAUCGGAUAGCGGCGCAGCUGCCAACUUGGAAAGCGGGCCACCUCCGUCAGUCCGGCAGACUCACCCUUGUCAACUGCAGGCUAUCGGCGAUGCCAAUCUUCCACCUUAUGGCCCUUGACCUGCCGCCCUGGUUCUUCAAAUGCAUCGACAAGCUUCGCAGAGGAUUCUUCUGGCGUGGUAUGGAGGACACAAAGGGGGGCUGUUGCCUCGUCGCCUGGCAUAUUGUCUGCUCGCCUAAAAUCUACGGCGGCCUGGGCGUCCUCAACCUACGUCUGUUAAACCAGGCCCUGCCCUUGCGUUAG